GGAAGAGGGUUAACCUUGCUUCGGGAGGAAGGCUGCCGCGUGCCCAAUUACAUGCAGGCCGGCGAACUUUCUUAGGACCUGCUUUUAAGGAGUUAACGGCGGACGGGUUAGUUACACGUUGGCCACCUGCCUGGUAGGCUUGGAAUACUUCCGGAAACCCGAGCUUAUACCGGAUUAUAUAUAGGUCCCCCCGGGUCUAUAAUUAAAAAUGGGCUCUAGCUAUCACUUACAGAUGGGCCCGCGGCGCAUUAGCUAGUUGGUGAGGUAACGGCUCACCAAGGCAACGAUGCGUAGCCGACCUGAGAGGGUGAUCGGCCACACUGGGACUGAGACACGGCCCAGACUCCUACGGGAGGCAGCAGUAGGGAAUCUUCCACAAUGGACGAAAGUCUGAUGGAGCAACGCCGCGUGAGCGAUGAAGGCCUUCGGGUCGUAAAGCUCUGUUGUUAGGGAAGAACAACAUUCGAGAGUAACUGCUCGCACCUCUGACGGUUCCAAAACUGAAACCUAUGCACACUCUAG
rnacentral:rRNA from 2 species